AGAAGGUAGCGACCAUGCCAUCUUUCUCCCUCUCAAUCCUUCUUUCUGUUGUUUGUGCAUUGGACAUUCAAUAAACACACGAUAGCACGGAGGUCUCUGCACGAGAGCACGACAGCGGGUUCAGAUAAGCACUCUUGCCUCUGUCAUGUCCCUCGCUUAAUGUGCUCCUCAUGUAUUUGUUGUCUCCAGCGGCCGCUGUAGGGCAGGCGCGGCAAGAACGGUUGAGGGAGCGGGGUCGGUUGCCGAAGGGGGUGCGGCGGCCCAAGGUCGACGACAAGCGGAAGGGCACACACGGGUGAUGGACUGAGUCUACCCCACAAUCUCUAUCUCCGAUUUUGUCUCGCGUCGGCACGGCGUCAGCUGGCCUUUGUGGCAGAAGUGCAGAACCAGCCAUCUUCCCAGGGCUAAGAAUGUUUAAGUUGCGUAUUCAGCGGAGGCGUGUGUAUGUGCACCGGGAACGAGUCAGAUGUUCUACACAGUUGUAGUUUGUUGCUGCUCCCUGGUGCUGCCGGUUAAACAUGUGUAGUUUCCAGAAUGUGUUGAAUAGCUCAUGAUGGAUCUAUGUGUGUGUUGAAUCGAUGCUUGUGUGGUGUUUGAUACUUGAGUCAUGGCCUUUGAUAUGAACACUACAGCGUCUAGAAUAUUAUCCAGCGCGGAUGCUACUAAACUCGAACCAACUGAGUCGAGCGAGGAGAGUUUAAUCAAGGAUGCUGGUAAAAUUAUGAAUUGUCCAAAUAUAUUGCACACUGGCAGAGAUGGCAAGAAACGUAUGAUAUGCGGACCAGGUAUUGGUGCUGCGAAGAUGGGCGCACAUCAAGCUGGUUAUUUGGACUAUAAAUUGAUGCAUGGAUGUGUUACGAGUCUUGUACGUGCACCUGCACAAGGCAAUAUGAGAGAAUCAAGAUUGAUUUAUAGAGAGAAAAACAAUCAGCAGAAGCCUUGUGAGCCACGCCCAUACAUAAAGCCAAUAUGUCAAUUUGGUUUGAUAAAUAAAAAGAAGUUAGAUCCUUUCCAAGAAGUAUAUGCUCAUCACGGCAAGAAACCUGAGGUUAUGGAGGAACCCGUACGUGCCAAGGUGCAUCCUAAUUUUCGUACACCUCCUGGAUGGAUUAGGAUUGGCACCAUAGUGCUACACGUUUAGGUCUGCAUGGAUUUAAUCACGCCAUUUCCUUCCUUCACGUGGUUGUUACCUUUUUAAGCUAGCAGGUAGGAGUAGAUAUAUUUUGUUAGGUAGUGCACUUGAGGUUAGUUAUAUACCAGAUCACGUUUGUAUUUUUUCUUCCUUAGAGAUAGGCCGAGCUGGUUGCAGCGUGAGCCAUAUAAAGGCUGGCUUCGGCCGAUGUGAAGGGGGGAGUUUUGAGUUUUAUUCCGGGUAUGAGAUAUACAGAAAAACGUCCGAGUUACGGGCGACCAUAUCUUGUGUAUUAUCUGUGAUUUUUCCAUCGUGAAAAUUUACUAGCAACGGAGGGUUGAUCAUCACAUCGACGCCUACGUGCUGAUCCGAGGGGGUCAUUAUUUUCGUUUGUGUAUUUUUGUACACAGGUGAAAAUUGUUCUUGGAGGUUACGAGGAGGAACAGGGAGACGAGGUGUUGAUCGAGUAUCGUCGUGAAAGAUCGAGCCAUCUACGCGCACGAAUUAGCAUCUUGGUAGUCCGUGCCUCAUCAGCCUUGUUCAGAAGUGGAGUUGUUUGAUGCAUUGCUGCUGGCGUGUUGUGUGAUCGAUGCACUUUCAAAGAAAUAUGUAUUUUGGUCUCUCAUUGGGCACAGUCGAGUGGCAAUUACAAGCACACGGAAGAUGAUGUUCUACUUGAUGCACUCUGCAAAGAAAAGAAGGUUCAUACACUUCGCAACAAAAAAAGGUCAUUGGUCUGAUAUAUGCACACGACAUAUGCAGUGAUAUUGUGGAGAAUGUGUUGUUGUGCUGAUGUUUUGAGCUACUCUGCAUUUUUUUAGCUGUCGUGCAGGAACUAUAAUCUAUUGUGCAGAAUAUUUCUUCAGAAAAUGUGUUAUUGUGCAGAAUAUUUCUUCAGAGAAUGUGUUAUUGUGCAGAAACUACAUCAAAGCGUCAGACGAGAAGAUCCGUGAACUCAUCGCUCAUCUACAUCGCAUUGGGUGAUAGUAUGUUGUAUGUUUCCUGGUCUGCGUGCUAUCUCAAUGUAUUUCUGUCAAGAAACACAUUUUGAUACUUUAGAGGCAUGCCAUAUAUCUCUAACAAGAUUCAGGUAUUAUGGAUAUUGUACAUAUUCAGGUCCUUCAAACAGUCUAUUGUGCGUCGAAGGUCGCGUUCAGCACAGACAAAAUUCCACCCAGCCUCGGUGUUUUAUUGCAGAGUGGCCAUUAUUCACCGCAACAUGUGGUUGCCUUUAUGGAUGGGGAAGAAUGCAACUCUACUUGGUACCACACACAAAAUACAAGGCAGAAGCCGUCGUCGCCUCCAUGGCUGCCAGAGUUGAUUGGGUGUGCGGAAGGCGAAGCUUCGGUCAAUGUCGACGACAUGGACGGUGAGCGGUUGGCCAAGUGGAGGAGGAUGGUCUUCGAGGAUGCCAGGCAGGACCACGUUAUUUGCUUCUAGCUGCUCAAGACUCACCUCACGCUCAUGGCCAUAGUAAUACUACAUACUUAUAUUUUGUGAUUUUAUUUCUCCUUAUCGAAGUGAUGGAUUUUCUGUGAUGCCACAGAUGAUUGCUUCACAAUGGUAAGACAACGUGGUAUAUAGUAUUGUCCCACUUUUUUCCUUCAAUGGGUAAAAUUCAGUCAAUGGUAGCACAACUUGAAACUCCGGUCAAUUUUUAGUUCAGAUAAA